GGGGGCUUUUCUAAAGCCCCUGGCCCCCGAAGCCCCAUCCAAGUGGGUUGUGAAUGAAGUAGGGCCGAGUUAGCCCCCUGGCCCCAAAACAUCAUUUUUGACCCAUUUUUUUCAGAACAAUCACUCCACUGAGCAUUUGACGGUCUCCCCUCAGCCUCGCCGCCCCUCCCUCCAUCUCCUCCGCUGUCUUCCCCGGACAUGCUGAACCCCGGAGGAAACCUCCGCCCUCAUCGACGCCUACCAUGACAAGUGGUCCUCCCUCGACCGCACCAACCUCAACCCCGGAGGAAACCUCAAAACCACACCGACACCACCACCAACCCCAACACCCCCACCAACAACCUCAAUUUCCCAGACGAAUUCCAACUCAAUCUCUAACACAAUAUAAUCUCGUGGGUUCAUCUUUAACGCAAUCUACUCUCGUGGCUCCAUCCCCUCCUAGAUCUACUCUCUAACUGGCUGUAGUAAGUUGUGGCUAGCCUUCCCCCUGAGCUCCUUCGCUAUGUUAUUAAUAGAUUGGAAGCAAAUGAGAGUACAUGGCCUGCUCGUAAGCAUGUCGUUGCAUGUGCUACCAUGUGUGCAAGUCCCGGAGAGAAAUGUGCAAAGAAAUUGUCAGCAAUCUUGAAUUUUGUGGGAAGAUCACUUUCCCUGUUGGCCUGAAGUAGCCUAGGCAUAGGAAUGGAACCAUCCAGUGUUUCAUCAAGAGAGACAAUUUUUUGGAAUAUGUUGAAAGUCUUCAACAUUGAAUAAAGGAUGUUUCAUUUGACUUUAUCUCAGGGUAUUUUUAUUGCAUUGAAGUGUGGAGCUACCAAGGCACAAUUUGAUAGCACGGUGGGAAUACACCCAUCGGCUGCAGAAGAAUUUGUAACCAUGAGGACAGUGACACGGCGCGUUACUGGAAGUGGCAAACCCAAGACAAAUUUUGUUUUUAUACGUAUAUGUUGCUAAACUAGCUCACGGGCUUGAAGAUUGUGGCCAUGAUUUCAUCUGGGUGGUGAGAAAAAUUGAUGAGGACGAAAGUAGAGCUCUUGUGGAGGAGUUUGAGAAGAGGGUGGAAGCAAGCAAGAAUAUGCUUUUGAUGCCACCAUAUGAAAAUGACUUUUUAGAAUUAAAUUGCCAAUAAUGCAAAUUGAUGGAGAUCUACAUACCACAAUAAAAUUUGUUGAUUCCCUGAAAAUCCCAUAUAUUGCGGCCUCGUUUGAUGGCUGUGAGAGCAUUGUGGAUCAACCUGCUAUUUUGUCUUACUGGGAUCUUCCUCAAUCAGAAAGGGCUAAGUAUAAGAUUCAUGAUAACUUGGUUCGCUUCAGCUUUGGGGUUGAAGAUUUUGAGGAUUUGAAGGCUGAUGUCCUGCAAGCUCUGGAAGCUAUAUAGUUCAGUUUUCCAUUCACCCAAGUUUUUUUAUAAUCGUGUUAUUCUAUUUCUUUUUGUCAUCACUUCUAGUGAUUCAAUUCAACUUUGAUCGUCUAAUCUUUUGUUGAUCUUGUGUUAAGAUGAAUUGUCUCUGAUUUGGAUGUUAUGAACCUUAUGAAUUGUUGAAAUUAUAACUGUAUAUGAUGUUCACUUUUCCUGCAACUAA